GAAUGGAGUGUAGUGGCGUGAUCUUGGCUCACAACAACUUCUGCUUCCCACAUUCAAGUGAUCCUCCCACCUUAUACUCCUGAGUAGCUGGAACCACAGAGGUAUAAGGAAGAACCAAGAAACAGUAUUUAAGUUAUGUACUGCAUCCUUUGGCAUUGAUGUUACAGUAUUUCACGAAAGGCCCGAGGAAUUCUAAUUGGAACAGACAAAAACCCAAUACAUGUUUAAGCAGUAAAGUAUUCAUCAGGUCACAAAAAGAGGAGCAAGA